CGGCCAGACACCAAAACAACAACACCGAGUACUGCUGGGCUCGCGGCCUGACCACCACCUUUAAACACUGUAGAAGAAGAAGCCAAGCCAGCAGAGGGUACUGGCGUGGAACAAACUUACCGUACUUCACUGUAGCCUACCGCAGGAGUCCAGGACCUUGCCGAAGCUUACCCUCCUCAUCCCCCUCUCGCCUCAUUCCCUGCUUAGUGGUUAUGGACAGACAGACAGACAGACAGCGGCAGUGUUAAGGU